CUCGCCUCCCAUAUCUUGUUCACAAACACCUCCGACCCCCGCACUCGCUAGACGUUAACCCUUUCGCUGCUCCUCGAUACCGUCAGCAUGGGAUGCAACAGCAGUAAGACGACGUCGACAGCUGAAAGGACAACACCCUCAGCCCCUGCAGGAGGGUCAGAAAAAGGGACCGGGCAGGUGGAAGAAGAUGGUGGCGGUGCAGGUGCUGUCCCAGCCGCUUCCGAAGUAGAACAAGGGGCGGACUAGCAAUAGUUGAACGUCAGGAUCGACUGGCGAAUUACAUACAGAUCCACAGUGUGAAAAAUAAUUGGUCUGUGAUAUGAAGGUUGCCUUUUCGAAGCAGCACUCAGAAUUGACUGGCACUCUGGCUAUGCAUGCAUGUCAUGACUUGCAGUUUUGUGCUGGAACUGUAUAUUACUUAACUUCUCAUUACUGCUAUAUUUCUAUGCAUAACUCAUUUUGAGAAAGAAAAACCAACAGUAUUUUAGAGAACAGUAUUAAGAUAGAUCAGAUUAUUUAUUCACGGGUUGUUUCGACGUGUUGAAUAUGUUGAAGAUCUUUAUGUAGUGUACUUUGUUUCCUUGACAUUAUCAUGUCAAUUGGCUUCAGUCAAUGGAUCAGUAGGCAUUCACUUGUUAUACAGUGUUGAUUAAAAGAUUACCUUUUUGUCAUAGCCAAAAGAAUAACAUAUCACUUAAUUUUGUUAAUACCAUUUACAAUUUAUAAAGUAAAAAAAAAAACAGAACAAAAGUAUGAAAUAUUAACUUCUGUCUAGUUGGGUUGAGUGCUGUCACAUGUUUGGGAACUAGCAAGGCAGUGUUCACAUCCAACACUUAAACUUCUGCAAUAUCAUCUAGCUCAUAUUGUUUUUAUAUUUUUUAUAUAAUCAUGGUAACAAAGUUUAUAGUUUACUUAACUGCUUUUAAGUUUCCAGCACAGAGUGAAGGUACACUGUUUUGUUAAGGUAAUAUUUGUAUGUUUACUCAACGUUGUUAAGUAAUUUAAGUGACAACAUGGUUGUGAAGUUCCUAGGAAGAAACAGUAAAGAACUACUGGAAGAACAUGGA